GUGUUUACUUUGGCAGCACACAUACUAAAAUUAGAAUGAUACAAAGAAGAUUAGUAAGACUCUUGUGCAAGAACGACAUGCAAAUUCAUGAAGUGCUCCAUAUUUUU
rnacentral:snRNA from 1 species